GCCUGGAGCACCCCCUCAGCCGGCACUGGGAGAUGCCACCGGACACCGUCCGCAGCAAGAUCCUGGUGGGGGUCGGGGGCUUCGUCUUGGGCUUGGUCUUCCUGGCGCUGGGGCUCGGCUUCUACCUGCGGGAGAAGAGCUCCUGAGCCACCGGCGGCCGCAGCCCCUCCCCGUGGCCUCGGGCCCA